UGCCGCCCCCCAAGCAACUACUACGCCUGCAACAACCGGGCAACAAGGUAGUCCAGCUGUCAGUGGCACAGUGAUGGGCGUUAAUAUCCCACCACCAAUUACCGCAAAGAAAGUAGUCGCAAAUGAUACACAGGAUGUACGUGUUGACGACCGUGAAGCCCACUACCCGUUGACGACCGUGAUGCCUACUACCUGUUGACGACCGUGAUGCCUACUACCUGUUGACGACCGUGAUGCCUACUACCUGUUGACGACCGUGAAGCCUACUACCUGUUGACGACCGUGAAGCCUACUACCUGUUGACGACCGUGAUGCCUACUACCUGUUGACGACCGUGAAGCCUACUACCUGUUGACGACCGUGAUGCCCACUACCUGUUGACGACCGUGAUGCCCACUACCUGUUGACGACCAUGAUGCCCACUACGUGUUGACGACCAUGAUGCCCACUACCUGUUGACGACCGAGAUACCCACUACCUGUUGACGACCGAGAUACUCACUACCUGUUGACGACCGAGAUACCCACUACCUGUUGACGACCGAGAUACCCACUACCUGUUGACGACCGAGAUACCCACUACCUGUUGACGACCGAGAUACCCACUACCUGUUGACGACCGAGAUACCUACUACCUGUUGACGACCGAGUUUACCCACACCUGUUGACGACCGAGAUACCCACUACCUGUUGACGACCGAGAUACCCACUACCUGUUGACGACCGUGAUACCCACUACCUGUUCAUGUUCAUCACUCCAUUUGGUUCAAGAUCAAUAAAAACAAUAAUGAAAAAUGAACAGAAAAAAAAAUUAAUGUAAAUUAAAUUGAGAAAACAUCUUCACAAAAGUAUGAAGCAACAAAUAUUACUAAAUAAUCCUUAAAUGAUUACUAAAAUAUUUUAAGAUCAGAAACAAUCAGUAGACGCAUUCUUUCUCAAUCAGGAAUGUUUCCUUGAUCUUUGUAAUUCUACCAUAGCCGCUGUAACAUACCUCUCACUUCACUUCUCACUUCACUUCCAGCACUUCAUGUCUUUCAUAUUUCUUCAUGUAUUAGUCUGAAUAAAUUUGCAUUUAGUAAA